UGGGGAAUAUUGGUCAAUGGGCGAAAGCCUGAACCAGCAAUGCCGCGUGAGUGAUGAAGGCCUUCGGGUUGUAAAGCUCUGUCAGUGGGAACGAAUAAGCCGAUUAAUACUCGGUGAUGACGGUACCCACAAAGGAAGCACCGGCUAACUCUGUGCCAGCAGCCGCGGUAAUACAGAGGGUGCAAGCGUUGUUCGGAAUUACUGGGCGUAAAGCGCGUGUAGGCGGUCUGAUAAGUCGGUCGUGAAAGCCCUUGGCUUAACCAAGGAACUGCGAUCGAAACUGCCGGACUAGAGUAUCGGAGGGGGUGGCGGAAUUCCCGGUGUAGAGGUGAAAUUCGUAGAUAUCGGGAGGAACACCUGUGGCGAAGGCGGCCACCUGGAAGAUUACUGACGCUGAGACGCGAAAGCGUGGGGAGCAAACAGG
rnacentral:rRNA from 1 species